GGUUGCCAGCACUUCAGUUAGACUUGACACAGAACAGCUGGAUUUCUAGCUUCCCUUUAAACCUGGCUGCACUGGGUCUGUGUGGCAGGUCCUGGUCCCCCUGAGCUCCAUCCCUUCUGGCUUACAGCCACCUUGUCCCUGACAAAAGGGUGAGAAAACCGCUUCUCUGUAUAAAUUGAAACACUGCCUAAGUCCGAAUGGGAAGUUGUUGCUCUGUAGCAGUGACGGUCUGUAGCUGAGGCUGAACGUGUAUGUGCUGAAGGACAGUCAUGUAAACAGUUAACAGGAAGAACGAGGACUUAAUGAGAAUGUUGGCUCUCCUUGCAGAAGACAAGAAGGACAUUUGCUAAUGAAGACUGUGGAAGGUAUUUGUUAACCAAAGAUUAGAUAUGGGUAGUUGAUGGUUAUUCCCAGCUGGGCUAGAAGUUCCUGGGAAUAGCGUGACCUUGGUAUUAGCCCCUCUCAGAUUCACUGGAGGAUGACGCAGGGCCCUGAAACAUCUCACAGGAAGGGAGAUGGCUUUGCUGGAGUUGAAGGAUAUGGAGGCACUUUUUAUAACAAAGAUUAAGAGUUGUUUCAUGGACAGUGGAAAUUAAAUGAAGUCAUCAGUGCCACUAUAAGCAUCUUAAGGUUUCUUUACUGAGUUUUUUUUAAGCAAGGAAUACUCUUGUGAUUAUUAAAUUAACCUGUCUAUAUUGACUUGUGUUUUCUUCUGCAGUACUUCUAACUUUGUUUUAUAAUAUUAUUCUAAGUGGUGUGCCAAAUUAUAGAUUAUUGAAAUAUCUUAUGAUAAUAAAAUCCUCUUAAAUUUUGAA
rnacentral:sRNA from 1 species